UAUAGUUUAUUGGAUCUUACUCUACAUGGAUACCUGUGGUAACCUAAGAGCUAAUACAUGCAACAAAGCCCUAUUGCAGGGCGCACUUAUUAGAACAAAACCAAUCGGGCUCGCCCGCCGUUUGGUGGAUCUGAAUAACUAUGCUGAUCGCACAGUCCUCGUACUGGCGAUGUAUCUUUCAAAUAUCUGCCUUAUCAACUGUCGAUGGUAGCUUACACGACUACCAUGGUUGUAACGGGUAACGGAGAAUUAGGGUUCGACUCCGGAGAGGGAGCCUGAGAAACGGCUACCACA
rnacentral:rRNA from 1 species